AGAAUAAGCACCGGCUAACUACGUGCCAGCAGCCGCGGUAAUACGUAGGGUGCGAGCGUUAAUCGGAAUUACUGGGCGUAAAGCGAGCGCAGACGGUUACUUAAGCAGGAUGUGAAAUCCCCGGGCUCAACCUGGGAACUGCGUUCUGAACUGGGUGACUAGAGUGUGUCAGAGGGAGGUAGAAUUCCACGUGUAGCAGUGAAAUGCGUAGAGAUGUGGAGGAAUACCGAUGGCGAAGGCAGCCUCCUGGGAUAACACUGACGUUCAUGCUCGAAAGCGUGGGUAGCAAACAGGAUUAGAUACCCUGGUAGUCCACGCCCUAAACGAUGUCAAUUAGCUGUUGGGCAACUUGAUUGCUUAGUAGCGUAGCUAACGCGUGAAAUUGACCGCCUGGGGAGUACGGUCGCAAGAUUAAAACUCAAAGGAAUUGACGGGGACCCGCACAAGCGGUGGAUGAUGUGGAUUAAUUCGAUGCAACGCGAAGAACCUUACCUGGUCUUGACAUGUACGGAAUCCUCCAGAGACGGAGGAGUGCCUUCGGGAGCCGUAACACAGGUGCUGCAUGGCUGUCGUCAGCUCGUGUCGUGAGAUGUUGGGUUAAGUCCCGCAACGAGCGCAACCCUUGUCAUUAGUUGCCAUCAUUUAGUUGGGCACUCUAAUGAGACUGCCGGUGACAAGCCGGAGGAAGGUGGGGAUGACGUCAAGUCCUCAUGGCCCUUAUGACCAGGGCUUCACACGUCAUACAAUGGUCGGUACAGAGGGUAGCCAAGCCGCGAGGCGGAGCCAAUCUCACAAAACCGAUCGUAGUCCGGAUUGCACUCUGCAACUCGAGUGCAUGAAGUCGGAAUCGCUAGUAAUCGCAGGUCAGCAUACUGCGGUGAAUACGUUCCCGGGUCUUGUACACACCGCCCGUCACACCAUGGGAGUGGGGGAUACCAGAAGUAGGUAGGGUAACCGCAAGGAGCCCGCUUACCACGGUAUGCUUCAUGACUGGGGUGAAGUCGUAACAAGGUAGCCGUAGGGGAACCUGCGGCUG
rnacentral:rRNA from 1 species